AGCUGGGUUUGUAAAUUUAAAAUGGCAACACAGACAUCUUGAAACAGUAGGGCAGUUUCUCCAAAGGCCUGUGUGGUAUUUUUGUCAACUGGUUGGCAGCCAUGGCGGAGAUUCCCAAAUUACGUCUACUGUGAGGAUGAAGCAUAAGGUUAAAGAGUGGAUCUGAAUUCUGCCAAUCUUUGUAAGAUUUACUAAAAGCCAAACAGCAGGAGGUGUUCUAGGUAAAUAUAGAUACCAAAGAGAGGAAUGAUUAAACAUAAGAGGGUUUAUACAAGGGGUCAAGCAAAAUUGGGAUGAUAUAGGUUGGCUUGAGGCCCACAAACUGAGAAUCAUUCCCAAAGGGUCUGGGUAGCUGACCCUGCUACAGCUGUGGGAUAUAGGAAAAGGAACAUGAAAGGGGAAGGCAGACAAGCGCUGAAGGGAAAGGAGAUAAUAGGCCAACCUAUGGUAACAAAGAUAAAGAUAGAGGGUUAGGUACCAGAGCCCAUACUUGCGGAUUUGGGAAGGGAGGAGGACCAGCCUGUGUUGAAUUCGCAAUGAGGACUGCAAAGAGUAGGACCACUAGCAUAGUGACUGGGACCGGUUUAGGGAUUCCGGGUGGUGGGCGUCCUCACUGUCCAGGGCCAGAGGAGGUGGCAGGGACCCUCCACUAGACAGCUGUGGAGGUGCAGUGGGGACUGCGGCUGCAGCUCUGCCAGGAAGGGUCCAGGGUCUCCGGCUGCGCCAGCCCCAGGGGCCUUCAGAGGGAGGGCUCCCAGGGAUGGCCAUGCCAAGUCUCCCCAGACACCCACCACACUUCUUCGGUCACAGCCACACUGCGGUGUGGGGGCACCAGGGUGAUAAACACAGACGAGGCGACUCUCUCGAGGCCAUCGUUCCAGGUCCUGGGAUCUCAAAUCCUGGAAGAGCCGAGGUUCUGUAGGUCCUGGGAGGCCUGCUGGGAGCGCCCCGGCUGGCCUUCGGAAACUGGACAGCGAGGCUUCCCGGGGCGACCUGGACCUCCCCCCACAGCCUCCACCGACCCCUGCGGCCUUUCUGCGCCCACACACUGCGCGCGCUAGCCCGCUGGGGGCGUCGCUCACCUCGGACCUGGAGCAGCUGCACCUGCACCUGCCGCCACCCCAGGCCCCGGCUGAGCCCCGCCCGCCCUCCACAGGCCCUCGGAGUCCGGAGUCAGAGGACGAAGAAGAUCCACAGGAUCGGUAAGAUGGCAGUGAACAAGGUGGAGGCCGAAAUCUUGGACUGGAAAAGGUGGGCUCUUCCGGAUGACCAUUAUUCCAGUGAGCUUCAGCUUCAAAUUCAGGUUUCCACGAUGGUGAGACAACACAGAAUGUAUUGCUCUGUUGUCACAUCAUGAAUUACUGUUGUAUUGAUGACACUGGAACAGUGUUAUGUGAAUAUCUUUCCAUAAAUAUAAGGUAUGUCCCAUAUUUCUUCUUGUUCAUUAGAAUGGCUUGAAUCAUGAAAGCAAGUACAUUUUUAUGUCAGAUAAUUCUUAUCUUUGGCAUUACAUUGUAUUACUAAAAUUACAUUAUCAAUGGGUAUAGUCACCCCUGCUAUCGUUUGACACUAAAAAAAUAUAAAUAUGUAUUCAUUUAUAUCAAAUCAACAGUAUGGGAAAUGACCAAUGAUUCUACUGUUAACACUAUAGAUAACAAUGUACGCUGUAGGAAUGUCAAGAACUAUAAAUGAGAAAGUAAAUAAAAGGUACUCAUCAGUCUCUCACACAUCACAAAUAUUGCCUAAUUAUUACUAUGAUCUUUAAUUUUAGAUGGAUUAAUGGAGUCCCACAGAGCUUGGAAAUAAUUAUUUCUGGAGCUGAGGAUUUAGUUCAGCGGUGCCACACGUGCCUCACAAACUCAAGGUCCUGAGUUCAAUUCCUGGUACCAGA
ensembl:lincRNA